UGAAACCCAAUAGACCUGACACAAAAGGCCAUUUCCAACCAGCUUUUGUCAAUAACACAUUAUUUUGAUUCGCCAGACGCAUCAGGAAAAAUAUGUACAUCUUUUAGGAUUGGCGGUAUUAACCUGAGGGAUUCCUCGGACUGAAAUAAAUGAACGAACAGAACCAAAGAUCCACCAAGUAGGACAACAGAUCCAUUGUAUUGGAAAUUACCAACAUCAACAAACCCCUUCGUGUGCUUGAAUGAAAACGAAAAUUAAGAUGCCGUUAAGGGGAAGUUGUUUUUGUUCAUUUGGAAUAUUAUAUUUAUUUUUGAACAGUUUUAUUCUUCCAACUGCUAGUUACACCCUGAAGGACUGCAGGGUCACACAGAACAGACAGGCCAUCUGUCAGAAUAACAAUUUGAAAGUAUUUCCAAAGGACAUUCCAGCAAGAGUCACAAGUAUAGAACUGUCUGGAAACAAGAUUUCUAGACUAAGUAAAACAGAUUUAAAAGAUUUACCAAAUCUGUUGCGCUUACACGUGACACGAAACAGGAUCUCCAAAAUUGAAUCUUCCACUUUUGUGGUUCAAAUCUCUCUGAAGGUGUUAAUGUUAAACAACAAUAGGCUUUGUAAGCUACAGGAGGGUAUGUUUGAUGGCUUAGUCAAUCUCGUAGAAUUGCGUCUGACAUCCAAUCAGAUCCAAACAGUAGAACCGGCCUCUUUCAAGUCUCUGAGCAAGCUUAGCAUUUUGGACCUAGGCCAUAACAAGCUGUGCCACUUAACAAACUUCUUCGUACAACAUACACCACUUUUAACACACCUGUACAUUCCAGCAAACAAAAUUUCCACUUUUCAUUCAUGGGAGCUGUCAAAUAAGUCUACAGAACUUGUUACACUUGAUUUGUCUCAGAAUGAGCUUAUGUUUUUUAGGCUCACUGCAGGUAUCUUUCCCAAACUCAAAACAUUUAACCUUGAGGAUGGUAUGAAGAAAGGUAUCGUCUGGGAGGUGAAUGACACAUCGUACCUAAGCAGUGUGGUUAGACUCGAUAUCAGUGGGGUUCGCUCCUCAAUACAUGGACUGCAGCAUGUGCUAGAGACAUUUAACUCCUCCUCCUCACUGAGGUAUCUGCAUUUAAACCAAAUAAAUAACAGCCUGCAGGUUCUCAUCAAUGUUUCCUGCAAAAUCCCAAAGCUGAGCUUUUUUGAAAUCCGAAAUAACGGCAUCAAAGUUAUUAGAUCAGACCUGCUGCACUCGUGUACUUAUCUGAAAAAGUUAGACUUGGGGAUGAAUGAGAUAACUGAAAUCUCUAACAAUUCGUUUCAAUCUCUUAGGCUGCUUAACACUUUAAUCCUAAAGUCUAACUGUCUCACAUCGGUCCCCUAUGCUGUAAGGAAAACUCAAAUCUCAACACUGGAUCUCAGCUGCAAUAACAUCAAUGUUCUUGGCUGUGAUGAUUUUGCCAAUAUGACCCGUCUCAGAGGUCUCUAUCUAUACAAUAAUCCUCUCUUGGCCCUCAAGGAUUGUGUUUUCAAAGAUUUGGUCAAUUUAAAUAUAUUAAUGUUGCAAAACAGCAGCAUUGAUCAAUUAAACGGUGCUUUCAAAGAAAAUACGCCAAAUCUUAAAACUCUUUCUUUGAUAAACAAUACACUUACUGUUCUAGAUCAUGGAGAAUUUAAAGCUCUGAAAUCCCUCCAGACUUUGUCAUUAAAAGGGAAUAAAUUAGAACAACUCAAUGAUGGGACUUUUUUUGGACUGUCCAGUCUUACACAUCUUAAUCUCGAAUCAAAUAAAAUAACUGAAAUAACAAACAGUACUUUUGGUGACCUGAAAGCUUUAAAGACAUUGAAUUUGAGGAGCAAUCAAAUUAAAUAUUCAUCGGUAGAGCCUAUUCUGUAUCCACCAUUUGCUGAGCUUUCACAACUAGAUACAUUGUUUAUUUCAGCUCAAACUAGAUAUCAUAAGCGGUUAAACUUCCCACAAAACUUUCUGCAAGGCCUGACAAAUCUGUCAAUACUCUAUAUGGAAAGUAACCAUCUUACAUCCGUGCACCCACACACCUUCAACUAUACUCCUAAUUUGAAUGAGCUUGUUAUGUCCAAAAAUUUUCUAACAGACAUUCCCGAUAGUUUGUUUUCCCCAAUUCAAAGACUAAAAAGUCUUUACAUUUCAAUGACAAUGUUGAGGUCUCUAGAUUUUCUGCUCCAUGCUAACCUCACAGAGUUGGAGAUGUUGCAGGUGUCGUAUAAUACCUUUACUGUGAUUAGAGAGCCAGUGAUGCUGUCUCUGCCAGCACUUACUGACCUGGAUAUGCAGGGUAAUACCUUCACCUGUAACUGUGACAAUGCGUGGUUCCUCCAAUGGGUAAUCACCAACCAGCAAACACAAGUGUUUAAUGCAUACAACUUUGAGUGCAGCUACCCUCCAAACCUUAAAGGUAGAAAACUGUUGCAGAUUGACGUCCGUUCGUGUACAGUAGACACAGACUUCAUCUGUUAUAUUUCCACGGCAUGCGCGGUCAUCAUGACCCUAGCAGUCUCCUUCACCCACCAUUUCCUGCAAUGGCAUCUGGUCUACGCGUACUACCUCAUGCUGGCGUUCCUCUACAACUCAAAAAACAAGGAAAAGCGUGCUCAUCAGUACGACGCCUUCGUCUCCUACAACGCAAACGACGAGGGCUGGGUGCUGGGGGAGCUGCUGCCCAAGCUGGAGGACGAGCAGGGCUGGAGACUGUGUCUGCACCACCGAGACUUCCAGCCAGGUGAGGAGCCCUACCCUGAACAUCCUCUGCACCUCCAUUAGCAAACAAGCUAGCCUACACUUUUUCAUAUAUCGUACAUGCCAGUGGAUAUGUUAUUAGUUGAUCAUAAACAUGGCAGGAGAUUUUUUCCUGACUCAGAAUGAGCCUUAGGUUGGUGACUUCAAUAAGCAUGAAUGUACAUUAAAGGCAAUCAGAGUCUGUGCUACGUUAUGUAACAGAAAACAAUACAUUUUCAUGUUAUUUAUGACCAUUUGAUGAGCAAAAAUGUGUAUAAUGCUUGAGUAAAUGAAACCACAUCAACAAAACUGAUCAAAUUUAAAAAUGGUAUUACAACGUGGGAAGUACCAGGGAAUUGCAUUGGUGGGUGACUGGUCAAUCGACUGGUCCUUGAUUUCAAACGCACAACUAAAAAAGAUAACCCAACCCUACCCAUCCCUCCUUCCACCCUCUCUUCCUCAAGUUCUUCAUCCUUAAAUUCUUGCCUCCCUUCAUCUCAUAUGUCCAUUUUUUUUUUUUUUUUUUCAAUCUUGGCUUUGAAUCAACAAAUCUUGGCUUUGAAUCUUGUCUGAUGCCCACUGAUUAUAUCCGCCCAUCACACUUGUAUAACAAAUAUAACCUAUGCUUAAUGCAUGCAUACAUUAGACUCCUCUCUAGCACAGUGUGUCCAGAAUACAGGUUGACAGAGCCUUUUAUACAGUUUCAGAUACAUUCCCACAUUGCAGAUGUCAAUAAUAAAAUCAGGUAAUGUUUUCUCAAUACACAGAGUUGUUCUCAUCAAGCAGAAGAGUGCACAAGAGGAUUUCCUAUCCCUUGUGACCUUUUAACCCAGGUGGGACAGCUGACCAGAGCAGAGGGGUUAUCAUUUUGACGACAUCACUCAAUCCAGCGUUGAGGUGGCUGAACCAAGCACAAAGGUCAAAACAUUGAUGGCACUGAGAAAAUGUAGGGUGGCAAGACAAAACACAGAAUGGAAAACAAAGCCUAUAUGACAAAAAGGUACCAACAUAGGAAUUUUUCCAUAACAACAGUUGUUGGUUUCUGGCCCAGGGUCUGCACCGGCUCACCCAAGGAGCUCUGCUAUAACAGUCAGACUGCUGGACCUGAGAUGACUGACUAGCCAAAUGGUCUUAGGCAACUAAGAUCAGUUUGGCUAGUGAGAGAGUGGACCAAGAGAAAGUAAAGAGAUGUGUACUUAAAAUAUUAUUCAAAUGUAUUUUCA